rnacentral:misc_RNA from 1 species
UGGUUCUGGCAUCGAUGAAGAACGCAGCGAAACGCGAUAGUUAAUGUGAAUUGCAGAAUUCAGCGAAUCAUCGAGUUUUUGAACGCACAUUGCGCCUUUUGGUAUUCCGAGAGGCAUGCCUGUCCGAGCGUCAUUACACACUCUCAAGCCUCAUGGGUUUGGUUUUGGGGUUGUAUUCUGCAGUAAAAUGCAGGCCCCGAAAUAUAUUGGCAGUCCUAUGAAGAUCUCGGGUGUAGUAGAAUACAGCCAUCGAGAUAUUUUAAAAAGACUUGCCUCUUGGAGCAAUUGAAAAAUCUUGUUCAACUUUUCAAGUUUGACCUCGGAUCAGACAAGGAUACCCGCUGA